UAGGUAGGCUGGGCGAUCGCGCUGACAUUGUCAGGGAGGAAAGUCCGAGCUCCACCGGGCAGGAUGCUGGCUAACGGCCAGGCGGGGAAACCCGACGGAAAGUGCCACAGAAAACAUACCGCCCCGUUCGCGGGGUAAGGGCGAACCGGUGAGGCAAGAGCUCACCGCUCCGGUGGCGACACCGGGGGCACGGCAAACCCCACCCGGAGCAAGGCCGAAUAGGAGGACGAUGGGCGCCCGGCCCGUCCUCGGGUUGGCUGCUAGAGGCGCUGGGCAACCGGCGUCCCAGAUAGAUGAUCGCCGUCCCGCCGUUUGACGGGAUACAGAACUCGGCUUACAGGCCUGCCUAUCAA
rnacentral:RNase_P_RNA from 1 species